GCUGGGGGGAGGAUCUCAUUCGAUGGCUGCCAGGUAUGAGAGAGAAUACAGAGACCUGCUAUACAGAGAGUGAGAGAGAGACUGGAAUAAUGUGUAAUAACCAGCCCUGGAUACAGAGAGAGAGAGAGACUGGAAUAAUGUGUAAUAACCAGCCCUGGAUACAGAGAGAGAGAGAGAGACUGGAAUAAUGUGUAAUAACCAGCCCUGGAUACAGAGAGAGAGAGAGAGACUGGAAUAAUGUGUAAUAACCAGCCCUGGAUACAGAGAGAGAGAGAGACUGGAAUAAUGUGUAAUAACCAGCCCUGGAUACAGAGAGAGAGAGAGACUGGAAUAAUGUGUAAUAACCAGCCCUGGAUACAGAGAGAGAGACUGGAAUAAUGUGUAAUAACCAGCCCUGGCUACAGAGAGAGAGAGACUGGAAUAAUGUGUAAUAACCAGCCCUGGAUACAGAGAGAGAGAGAGACUGGAAUAAUGUGUAAUAACCAGCCCUGGAUACAGAGUGAGAGAGAGACUGGAAUAAUGUGUAAUAACCAGCCCUGGCUACAGAGAGAGAGAGAGACUGGAAUAAUGUGUAAUAACCAGCCCUGGAUACAGAGUGAGAGAGAGACUGGAAUAAUGUGUAAUAACCAGCCCUGGAUACAGAGUGAGAGAGAGACUGGAAUAAUGUGUAAUAACCAGCCCUGGAUACAGAGAGAGAGAGAGACUGGAAUAAUGUGUAAUAACCAGCCCUGGAUACAGAGAGAGAGAGAGACUGGAAUAAUGUGUAAUAACCAGCCCUGGAUACAGAGAGAGAGAGAGACUGGAAUAAUGUGUAAUAACCAGCCCUGGCUACAGAGAGAGAGAGACUGGAAUAAUGUGUAAUAACCAGCCCCAUACAGAGAGAGAGAGA